rnacentral:rRNA from 1 species
AUGAAAAGACGUGAUAGCAGAAUUAGUGAAGCUGAUUGGAAGACCCUUAUUACUUAUUGGAGAUCUUCGACAUUUGAAUCUCGUAGUGCUAUCGCCAAAAAGAAUCGUGCCAAUGCAGUGCCUCAUACAUCUGGCAGCAAGAGUCAUGCCCGUGUUGCCAAUGAAAUGGCUGUCAAACUUGGGCUUGAUCCUCGAAGAGAUGAAGUUUAUAUCGAAAUGCAUACAUGCAAGAAAGGGGAAAGGAAAGGGAGUUAUGUGCCGCAGGCAGCAGCAACAAUUAAAGAACUCAUAGAGAAAGGUGAACAGCACCCCGAAUGGAAGGAAAAAAACAUUAAAGAAGGUGAUCUGUUUGCACGUGUAUGUGGAAUGAAGGAGCCCAGGGGUCGUGUUCGUGUGUUAGGUCUAGGGCCAACACCUCAAGAUUUGGGCACACCGGGUACAUGGGGUAAAUUGAGCACAAGAGUUCUAGUUGAAAUGGAAGGGCGUCGAGAAGCUGGAAAUCGCUUUAACAUGCUGGAGGGGCAUGUGCUAGAAAUGCAGGAACGGAUGAACCGAAUGGAAUUGAUGUUAGCUUCACAAGGAGGGCAUAAUCUGAAAACUCCUAGCUCGCAGCACGGUUCCAAUUCUCGACAAAACUCAAGAGUUGAAGCUGAGGAUAAUAACGAUGGUGAAGAAGAUGAUGAACGGGAUGAUGAAGAGCCCUUUGUUCAUAGAAGAGUUGUUGCAAAGCCCCCUUCAAGAAGCUCAUCAGCCUAUGAAGAUGAAAGCCUUACACUAUUGUGGGCGGAGAGCCCCUUGGACCAGGAACUUAUGUGGUUCUUGUCAAUGUUGCGAUCAGAAGGGAUGCUACUUUGUCUUUUGAAUAUGAAGGUUUACAAAUUAUCGCUGAUGUUGUCACAAGGUCCAUCGCAUGGCCAUCUAGCAAGAUGA